rnacentral:rRNA from 1 species
AUGGAAGGUGAUGGUGAGUGGAAGCGUCAUGGCCGCUGGAGGAUGCCGUUCAUUGGCCGUGCUUACUUUGUCCCUGAGUUGGAUCUCUGGGUUGGGCUUGGCAAACACAGACGGAUCUUCGCAAUUGAUGUGGUAUCUGAAGAACCUGAUGCUGUGCAUGUUGAGCGUUAUGUGGACCUUCCCUUUAAGGUGUGCGUGGACAAACCGAGCUGCUGCCAUUUUACAGAUCAGGAGCCCAUCGGAGCCACCCUCCUUAGCAUGGGUGGUGGGAGCACUUUUUGCCUCCUUGAGUACUUCGGUGUGAAUGAGAUGGAGCGUAUCAUGCGAUUGAUGACAUUUUCUCUCAAAUAUGACAAGUAUGGAGACCUGACGAUGGGCAAAAGCAUCCAGACUCGGUACAACAGGGUGCCAUCUGAAGUUAGUUUGUCGACGCUUAAGACUCCGGUGGCUUUCUGGAUGUAA